GACGAACGCUGGCGGCGUGCUUGACACAUGCAAGUCGAACGAAGAGCGACGGAAGCUUGCUUCUAUCAAUCUUAGUGGCGAACGGGUGAGUAACGCGUAAUCAACCUGCCCUUCAGAGGGGGACAACAGUUGGAAACGACUGCUAAUACCGCAUACGAUCUAACCUCGGCAUCGAGGAUAGAUGAAAGGUGGCCUCUACAUGUAAGCUAUCACUGAAGGAGGGGAUUGCGUCUGAUUAGCUAGUUGGAGGGGUAACGGCCCACCAAGGCGAUGAUCAGUAGCCGGUCUGAGAGGAUGAACGGCCACAUUGGGACUGAGACACGGCCCAGACUCCUACGGGAGGCAGCAGUGGGGAAUCUUCCGCAAUGGACGAAAGUCUGACGGAGCAACGCCGCGUGAGUGAUGACGGCCUUCGGGUUGUAAAGCUCUGUUAAUCGGGACGAAAGGCCUUCUUGCGAAUAGUGAGAAGGAUUGACGGUACCGGAAUAGAAAGCCACGGCUAACUACGUG
rnacentral:rRNA from 1 species